ensembl:lncRNA
GUGAGAUGAGGGAGAGAUGGAGAGAUGGAGGUGAGAUGAGGGAGAGAAGAGGGCAAGAUGGAGAGGUGGAGAAGAGAUGGAGGAGAGAUGAGGGAGAGAUGGAUGAAGAGAUGGAGGAGAGAUGGAGGAGAGAUGAGGGAGAGAUGAGGGAGAGAUGGAGGAGAUUGAGGAGAGAUGGAGGAAGGGAUGAGGGAGAGAUGGAGGAAGAGAUGGAGGAGACAUGAGGGAGAGAUGGAGGAGAGAUGGAGGAGAGAUGGGGGGAGAUGGAGAGAUGAAGGUGAGAUGAGGGAGAGAUGGAGAGAUGGAGGUGAGAUGAGGGAGAGAAGAGGGCAAGAUGGAGAGGUGGAGAAGAGAUGGAGGAGAGAUGAGGGAGAGAUGGAGGAAGAGAUGGAGGAGAGAUGGAGGAGAGAUGAGGGAGAGAUGAGGGAGAGAUGGAGGAGAGAUGAGGGAGUGAUGGAGGAGAGAUGAGGGAGAGAUGAGGGAGAGAUGGAGGAGAUUGAGGAGAGAUGGAGGAAGGGAUGAGGGAGAGAUGGAGGAAGAGAUGGAGGAGACAUGAGGGAGAGAUGGAGGAGAGAUAGCUGAAGAGAUGGAGGAGAGAUGAGGGAGAGAUGGAGGAGAGAUGGAGGAAGAGCUGAGCGAGAGAUGGAGGAAGAGAUGGAGGAGACAUGAGGGAGAGAUGGAGGAGAUAUGAGGGGGAG